UUGGUUAGGAGUUGUAACUGAAAUUUACCAGAAUUAGUCUCAUUCUUCCUUCCUUCUUCUGCGUAUUAAUACUCCUCACUUAAGCUGAAUUAUUAAUUGGGCUAUUUGUAAAUGGUCCUGCUCUAUUCUAUCUCCGUUGGCCCAGUAAUUGUAAGACCAAUUGAGCCCCAGAGCUUAAUCUGGUCCACUUAUGAUACAACCCUCAAUAUAGAAAUAAGGUCCCCAUAUAGAAAUAUCCGCCUACUUUCCUAAUUCAUUUCUUCAGACAUUACAAUCCCUACCUCUCCAAGAACGACCUUGUCCUCAAGGUCUUUGUUGAGCAACAAAAUCAGGAAAUCUGCUUUUGAUAUAUCUCCAAUCCUCCCAAGUGGCAUCAUCCUCCCUUAAAUUUGCCCAAUGAAUUAGAACUUUCACCCCCACACCAUUAUUUUCCUUCGCAAUACGCCUUUAAAGGAUUGCAACAGGUUGAAUCAAGAUUUAUCCUUCGUUAUCACAAAUUGGUGGCUGUGGCUGUGGAGUAAUGGAUGGACCAACACGCUUCUUCAACUGAGAGAUGUGAAAGACAAAAUGCAGCUGAGACCCUUUAGGAAGCUCUAACCGGUAAGCCACUGUUUUGAUUCUUUGCAUGACCUUGUAAGGUCCAUAAAAAUGAGCACAUAACUUGACAUUUCUCCUGACAUCGAUGGAAGACUGUCGAUAUGGCUGUAGCUUAAGGUAGACUAGAUUUCCAAUCUCCAAUACUCGGUCAGAUCUUAGCUUGUCAGCAUAGAACUUCAUUCUACAUUGAGCCUGUGUAAAAUUGUCUCGUAAGGACUGUAACAUCUGUUGUCUCUGAACUAAGCACUCUCGAGUUGACUGAUGACCAGUUUGUGGUAAGGACCCCAACGGAAGUUGUGGAGGAUCAUACCCAUAGAUUGCCUAAAAAAGUGUAGUCUUGAUGGAGUUGUGAUAGUUGGUGUUGUACCACCAUUCCACCGAGUGUAGCCAUUUUCCCCACUGCUUAGGAUUAUUGAAGACCAUAGCUCUCAAAUAAGUUUCCAUGCACCUGUUAAGUCGCUCUGUUUGUCCAUCAGAUUGAGGGUGGUAAGCAGUGCUCAUGUUGAGCUUAGUGCCCAAAGUUUUAAAGAGAUGUUGCCAGAAGUGGCUGGUGAAAAUAACAUCUCUGUUCGAGACAAUAGUCCUUGGCAAUCCAUGUAACCUGUAGAUUUCCUUAAGAAAUAAUUCAGAAACAUCUUGGGCUGUAUAGGGGUGUUUGAGUGCCAGGAAGUGCCCAUAUUUGGCUAAUCUAUCCACUACUACCAAGACUGCAUUUUUGUGCCCAAAAUUGGGUAGACCUUCUACAAAGUCUAAUGAUAUGUCUUGCCAAGCCUGUGUGGGUAUAUGGAGGGGUUGUAGAAGCCCAGGUGGGUGAAUGUUUUCUGAUUUAACUCUUUGACACACAUCACACUCACUUACCCAUUUGCAUUUCUCUGUCUUCAUGUUUGGCCAAUAGAACAUAGAUUGUAUUCUUCUAUAGGUGCCUUGUUGGCCUGAGUGCCCUCCAAUAGGUGACUGAUGCAAGACCUCCAAAAUCUUGGUUUUCAAAGUAGUGCUUCUUCCAAUGUAUAUCUUGUGUUUAUACCUUAUGGCCCCUUGUUGCAAUGAAUAAUCUGGAAUGUUGGAGGGAGAAAUUGAUAGUUCACUGAGUAGUUGUGAGGCUAAAGGGUUUGAUUCAUAGCUUUCACAUACUUCUUCAAUCCAUGUAGCCUGAGUGGUGGAAAGGGAUAAGAGUGUAGAGUCUUUCUCAUUUCUUCUGGAUAAAGCAUCUACUACCUUAUUUUCUACUCCCUUUUUUAUAUUGAACCUCAUAAUCCAAUCCCAUAAGCUUUGUUAGGCCCUUCUGUUGUAAUGCUGUAGUUACCUUCUGCUCUAGUAAGUACUUUAAACUCUGAUGGUUUGUCUUCACAAUGAAAUGUCCUCCUUGUAAGUAGUGUCUCCAUUUGUCUAUGGCUGAUAGCACAACCAUAUAUUCUUUCUCUUAGGUAGAAAGUCCUCUAUGUUUGAGAGCAAGAGCUUUACUAAAAUAGGCUAUAGGUCUGCCAGACUGCAUCAAUACAGCUCCUAUCCUAGUGGAGCAUGCAUCAGUCUCCACUAUAAAAGGCUUAGUGAAGUCAGCUAGAGCCAGGACUGGUACUGUUGCCAUGGCUUUUUUCAAUUGCUGAAAAGCCACUUCUGCUUCUUCAUUCCAUUGAAAUGCAUUUCUUUUGAGUAAGUUUGUUAAGGGUCUGCUAAUCACCCCAUAGGACUUAACAAAGCUCCUAUAGUAGCCUGUAAGCCCUAGGAAACCUCUAAGGGCCUUAAUAGAUUUAGGCACAGGCCAGGACAACAUAACUUUAAUUUUAGCAGGAUCAGUAGCUACCCCUCUUCCUGAAAUGAUAUGUCCUAGAUAUUCCACCUUGUCUUGCCCAAAUGAACAUUUGGACAAUUUGGCAUACAACUGCUCCUUCUGUAGAACUUCUAACACUGUUCUAAGAUGAGCAUGAGUUUCUAAUGUAGGACUGUAGAAUAAUAUAUCAUCAAAGAAUACCAACACAAACUUCCUCAAAAAUGGUUUGAAAACAUGAUUCAUUAGUCUUUGAAAAGUGGCAGGUGCAUUAGUCAAGCUAAAGGGCAUGGCCUUGAACUCAUAAUACCCUAAAUGAGUUCUAAAUACAGUUUUAAAAAUAUCACCCUCACUCAUUCUGAUUUGAUGAUAACCAGCCCUUAAGUCAAUCUUUGAAUAGAUGCAAGAACCAUUGAGUUCAUCCAUUAAAUCAUCUACCAGGGUAUAGGGAAUUUGUCCUUAACUGUAAUUUUGUUAAGCUCCCUAUAGUCAAUGCAAAAUCUCCAACUACCAUCUUUCUUUUUAACUAGAAGUACUGGUGAGGAGAAUGGGGAAUGACUAGGUUGGAUGAUUCCAUUUGUCAACAUUUCAUUAACUUGUUUCUCUAUUUCAUUCUUCUGAAAAUAGUUAUAUCUGUAGGGUCUGAUACUUACAGGUGCUGCAUCAGGCUUGAGGGGAAUAGAGUGAUCAUGAUCCCUCCUUGGUAGCAAGGACUUUGGCUCUGCAAACACCUUGAGAAAGUCCUGGAGUACUGAUCUGAUUUCUUCAGGUAAUUCUGCUGCCACUUCUACUUCUUUAGCUGAGAUUAAAAAUAAGUGUGCCCACAACACCUGUCCCUUCUUCAACCAUUGUUAACCCCAGAAGCAGUCAUGGCCUGUAGCUGGCCUUCUUCAAAAUAUCCCUUCAAUUCCACUCUUUUGCCAUUGACACUCACUUGGAGUCUAUAGCCAAUAAAAUCAAAUGAGACUGGAUUGUGCUUCCUUAUCCAGUCUACUCCCAAUACCAUGUCACAACCUCCCACAUCUAACAAUCUUAGCUUGUGCUCAAAUUCAAUACCAUGUAUUUUCCAUUUGAAUGAAAAGCAGAAAUGAUAGCUCAUCAAAUGACGGCCAUUAGCUGCAGUAACCCUCAUAGGUGCAUCUUUCUUAAUUACACACCCCAGCUGUUUUGCACAACUGCUAGCCAUAAAACUAUGAGUGCUGCCACUAUCAGCUAAAAUUAUCAACUUUUGUUUCCCAUACAUCCCUUUUAAUUUGAUGGUAUUAGAGGUCAUAGUUCCUAAUAAGGCAUUGAGGCUUAUGGCUUCAUCAAUUAUCUCCUCUUGCAUAUUCUCCACUUCUUCUAUUUCUUCUAUUCUCUGACUUUCCUCUAUUGCCUCCUGAUCAGUAGUACCAUGCAAAAUGUUCAAUUGCUUAUCCUUGCAUUGAUGACCUGGGAAGUAUUUCUCCCCACACCUAUAGCAUUCACCCAUGGUCUUUCUUGCUUCAAACAAUUUAUUACCAUAGAUGGUGGAAUUAGAAUAGCCCUCUUUCUGUAUAUUUCCUACUGUUCUGCCCCCUGUUGUCCUAGUAUGUGAAUUAUAUUGGGUUGACUGUCUUCCUGUACCCCCCUUUAUUCUUUUUAUUUAUUGAAUCCAACAUUUCCUCUUUAUGUCUAGCCUUUUCUACAGCUUGACUUAUGGAAAAUGGGUCAAGCAUUUUGACUGUAUGCCUGAUUUCUUCCUUAAGUCCUUCAAUGAAAAAUCCUAGAAAGAAUUCUUCAGGAAUGGUUGGGUGUUUGAUUAGUACCCAAGUCUUCAAAUCUUCAAACUUCUCUAGAUAUUCAUUCACAGUUCCCCUUUGCUCAAUUCUCUUAAAUUUUCCCAGUAGAUUUAGAUGACUAUUUUCGGAAUCAUUAAAUCUUUUACAAAUUUCCUCAACAAAAUCUGGCCAUCUCACCAUUCCUCUACUCAAUUGAUAGGAGAAAAACCAAGACUCAGCCCUCCCAUUUAAGUGAAGAACUGUAGUGUCUAAUUUUUGUUGCGGGUCAAUUAUACGAUUAUAAUGGAAGUACCUUUCACAUUUUCACAGCCAAGAUCUGGGAUCUCCCUCUUCAAAGUAAGGGCAAUCCACUUUAGCAGCAACACUGUUUGAGUCUAGAAGAAUUCUCCUGUGGUUCCAUCAUCCUCAUUUUGCUGCUCGAUCCAUCCAUUUGGUGAGCCUCAACUGGAGCACUACCAAGGAUUCCAUCCUUGCUCACGAACAACUUAUCCAUCAUGAUGUCAAAUUUGUGAUUUAGAUCAUCCAUUUUGGAAUCAGUGGAUUCCAAUUUCUUAUUUGUUUCUGCCAUGUAAUUGUGUAACUGGGUCUCCAGUUUUUGACAUUUUCUUCUGUGGAUUUGGCUUGAGUUUCUGGUGCUGUCAUGGUACCAGGAUUCAACUCUGAUACCAAUUGUAAUAUACUAGAAUUUGAAAGAAAUAAUGGAAAGAAUAGGAUUUCUUUAUUGAUUUGUAAUAGAAUUGAGAUUGUUACGAUGUAUUUCUAUAAUCGAACUACAUUGACGCCAUUGUUAUACCUGAAAGAAGGAGAAGAGAAAGUGGUUAGAAAUGAGAGAGAGAGAGAUAGGUAGAGAGAGAAUUGGUUAGGAGUUGUAACUGAA
rnacentral:lncRNA from 1 species